ACGCUGGCGGCGUGCCUAAUACAUGCAAGUAGAACGCUGAAAGAGGAGCUUGCUUCUCUGGAUGAGUUGCGAACGGGAGUAACGCGUAGGUAACCUGCCUGGUAGCGGGGGAUAACUAUUGGAAACGAUAGCUAAUACCGCAUAAGAGUAGAUGUUGCAUGACAUUUGCUUAAAAGGUGCAAUUGCAUCACUACCAGAUGGACCUGCGUUGUAUUAGCUAGUUGGUGGGGUAACGGCUCACCAAGGCGACGAUACAUAGCCGACCUGAGAGGGUGAUCGGCCACACUGGGACUGAGGCACGGCCCAGACUCCUACGGGAGGCAGCAGUAGGGAAUCUUCGGCAAUGGACGGAAGUCUGACCGAGCAACGCCGCGUGAGUGAAGAAGGUUUUCGGAUCGUAAAGCUCUGUUGUAAGAGAAGAACGAGUGUGAGAGUGGAAAGUUCACACUGUGACGGUAUCUUACCAGAAAGGGACGGCUAACUACGUGCCAGCAGCCGCGGUAAUACGUAGGUCCCGAGCGUUGUCCGGAUUUAUUGGGCGUAAAGCGAGCGCAGGCGGUUAGAUAAGUCUGAAGUUAAAGGCUGUGGCUUAACCAUAGUACGCUUUGGAAACUGUUUAACUUGAGUGCAAGAGGGGAGAGUGGAAUUCCAUGUGUAGCGGUGAAAUGCGUAGAUAUAUGGAGGAACACCGGUGGCGAAAGCGGCUCUCUGGCUUGUAACUGACGCUGAGGCUCGAAAGCGUGGGGAGCAAACAGGAUUAGAUACCCUGGUAGUCCACGCCGUAAACGAUGAGUGCUAGGUGUUAGACCCUUUCCGGGGUUUAGUGCCGUAGCUAACGCAUUAAGCACUCCGCCUGGGGAGUACGACCGCAAGGUUGAAACUCAAAGGAAUUGACGGGGGCCCGCACA
rnacentral:rRNA from 1 species